AGCUUCGUGGCCAAGAGGAAUGGCGUUGGGCUCAUAACCCAAAGAUCCCCGGAUCGAAACCGGGCGAAGCUA
rfam:Wallemia sebi CBS 633.66 unplaced genomic scaffold WALSEscaffold_3, whole genome shotgun sequence.